rnacentral:rRNA from 1 species
GCCAGCAGCCAUAUCACCCUGCAACUCACAACUGGCAGCCCACUGAAGCUCAGCUGGUGUGAGCCUGGUCAGUAGCUGGAUGGGAGACCUACUGGGAAAAACUAGGGUUCCUGCUGGAA